UUCAUUCAAAUUUUACCAAUUGAAAAUUGCCUUUUAGCCUUCUAAUCUGAUAGAGAAUAGUUUGGAUCCCAAACUCGAAUGUCGCCACUAGCCAUCGCGGAUAUUUUCGUUGUCUCGGGUUGAGGGCGAUAUUGACCGUGUAAGGGGGAAAAAUAUUGAUUGAGGUUAGAUCAGAUGUUGAAAGCCUAGCUGUCACGAUAUUGAAGACACUUAUUGUCAAUCCGGUUGAUCGUGUAAGGUGCCCAAUAGACCCGUCUUGGCAUCAAUCAUAGCACCCGGCUGUCAAAAACAAAUGUAUCUGGGUUUCAAAUUUCAGCGUUUUGGACGGAUGAAUCUGACAAUUUUCUGUUUAUAUACAUUCUAUACGAGUGGAUUGACUUCGAUUUUUUGUAUUAUUCGUGUUCAACCAUAUUAACGUAAGGAAGUUGUAAAAAGUAUUUUUCAAACUCGAUAAAUAUCAAAUUGUGUACUUAACACCGGUUCGAUGUCUCGUAACAAUAAAUUUAAUGUGUGAAACUCAACCCAUUCUAAAACAAUAUUAACGAGAUCGGACCGCACUAUAUUAUCUGUGCGUAUUUCCCUGGGCAAGCAAGGAUUGGGCAAGGAUUGCAAACCCUACAAACAAAACGAUCUGAAUAUUCGUUACCAACGGAAUUAUUUGCCAAAAACUUCGAUCGACUAAAUCAAAUGCGUAUUCGUAGUUUAGUUUUUAAAAAAGUAUGUCUGAGAAAGUAGUUGGUGCCAUGGAAAAUGCAGUUGAAACAGCUGGAACUCAUUAUAGAAAUCCUGGCCUAAAAUUAGAACCGAUCAAAACAGACGAAAGCGAUUCUGGGAAUAAUUUACACGAUCGCGAAAGGGCAGAAUUCGUUCAAGAGCAAAUAAAACUGGAACCCAUCGAUAUCAAAAACGAACCAUCGGAAAUCGAAUUUGUACAACAGCUCAAGCAGGAAUCAAUUGAUGUCAAAAACGAGCUAUUUGAACACGAUGAUGAGACGAUUUGCAAUAACAACAAAAAUAAAAAAUCUAGUCCUUCUAGUGGAAAAUCACGAUGCCGGAAAGAAAGGAAAACUAUUCCAAACAAAUGCUACAUCUGCGAUACAAUGCUCGAAAGCCAGAGCGUUUUAAAUGAUCAUCUCGAGAGCCACAAAGAUAUGAUACCUUACAAUUGCUCACAGUGUAGCACAGAAGCAAAUCCCAUUGAAGCAUCCAAUGUGACAACGCUCAACAAACACUUCGAGACGCACGGUUUCAAAUACAUUUGUUUACACUGCCCUUUACGCUAUCGGACAGGUUCUUCAUUGACGUAUCAUGUGCAGAAAUUUCAUGAGCGAAAAUUCAAUUUUAACUGUGAAUUCUGUGGGAGAGCAUUCAACAAUUAUCAAGAUCACAGGGCUCAUGUUAACAUUCACAAGAAUUUGAUGAUGGAACGAUUCAAAUGCGAACCCUGCCAGAAGUUGUUCCAGUCGAAGCGUUUGCUCCUGCUGCAUCAGAAGACUCUCGCGCACAUUGGGCUUGUCCGUGAGAAGCAGAACAAAACACAAUCGGAUGUAACAAACUCGGAAAAGGUGAAAUCAUUGCAAUUCAUACGGCGAAGUAGGCCCGGAACAUUGGAACGAAAACUUCUCAUCAACGUGAAUGGAUAUGAUCAUAACAUUUCGGAACACAUGGACAAUGACAAGGACUCAAAUCCAAUCGUGAAAAAAGAAACAAUAGCUAUAGACGGUUCGAGAAUAACGAUAAAUCAUGACGGGGAACUCACUGUUGUUAAUCCGGAGGAACCCCCGCAAGAAGUGAAAAUCAUUCCAAACAAAUGCUUCGUUUGUGAUACUGUUUUCGAAAGCGCAAGUGGUUUCAAAGGUCAUCUCACGAGGCACAGAUAUAUGUUACCCUACAAAUGUGCGCAGUGUAGCACUGCGACAAACCCUAUUAUCUUUACCACCAUGAUACUUCUCAAUAGACAUCUGGAAUCACACAGCUUCAACUUUAUUUGUCCACACUGCCCGUCACGAUAUCGAAGAAAAAAUAGCCUAAUACAUCACGUGAAGAGCAUCCAUAUAAAUUUGAAAGCUGGACACAGCUGCGAAACACGAAGAAAAGCUUUGAUCGAUCCUGGUGUCGAUUAUCAGACGCAACAACACAAAUGGAAAUUUUGCCAAAAGUAUUACACUGCACGAAGUAGCUUGAAGAGGCAUCAAGUAAUGCACGUGGGGCAGCAACUGGCGCCUGUUUAUAAAGAAGAAGAGGAGUCACAACCUGAGAUGACAACCGUUGAGAUGAACAAUGCAGUCUCUGGAACAGCGCCACAAAGAAGUACUAUGGACCCAAUAGAAGAAUCUCAUCAUAUUUUGAUACAGACUGAAAACGAUAAAAUCGUUGUAAUGGAUCCAAACGAUAUAGAGAAAACUGCUAACUGCGAUAAAACCACGGAUCAAUCGAAUAACGGGGAAAGCUUUAGUAACAAGAAAAACGAAUCUAGUCACCCCGAUGAACCUGUAGAAGCUAAUCGGGAUGCCAGAGUUGGGAAAACUAUUCCAAACAAAUGCUACAUUUGUGGUCCAGUUCAUGAGAACGAAGACGAGUUUACCGAACAUCUAGAGAGCCACAAGAGUAUGUUACCGUAUAAAUGUUUGCAGUGUAGUAUAGAGGCCCGUACCUUGCUAGCACUCAACAGACAUUUCCAAAGGCACGAAUUCAAAUACGUUUGUCCACACUGCCCGCUACGGUACCGGACUGAUAUUUGGUUAACAUUUCACAUUCAAAGUAUUCACGGAGAUCAGAAAGUUGAAUACUAUUGCAAAACCUGCGGGAAGGGUUUUAACAAAAACAAGUACCACUUGUAUCGGAAACAUGUCAACGCUCACAACGAUCUAGCUUUGCAACGCCACAAGUGCGAACCCUGUCAGAAAGUUUUCUCGCUCAGCAGUUCUCUAAUCAAUCAUCAGGCAUCUUAUUCAUGCAAACGUAAUACAAAAAGGAAAUCGCAAAAGAGUAAAUCCGCUCAAGUAAUGAGCAAAAUGUUUAUUGAAGAGAAAAAUAAUGCCGGAGAAGUUGAAGCUGUGGAACAAAUAAUUACCACAAGCUCACAAGUCACUAAUCAUAACACUGUGGAGCAGGAUGCGAGUAAUAGCGAAAGUUCACCUAUGGAAUCGAAUCCAAGUGAGUUCGAUGGGAGGAUGGCUGCAAUUUUCAUUCAGGAACAAAUAAAUCUAGAACCCAUCGAUAUCAAAAAUGAACCGCCGGAAUCCGAUGACGAAGUAAUGAAUGAUGACGAGCCAACUCACAGCCACAACAACGAGAAUGGCAAUUCUAGCCAUUUCCAGGGGAAACCACCAUGUCAGGAGCGCCGGAAAAAGACAUUCUGAGAGUUCGUUUGCUUAUCACGUACGGUACACUCGUUAUAAACCGCAGUCUGAAUUCCACUGCGAGUUCUGUGGAAAAAGUUCUCAACAAUUAUCAUAAGCAUCGAAUUUCUGUUAUUGCCCACAAGAACCUCAUUGCGCAACGAUACGAAUGCGAACUCUGCCUCAAGGUGUUCCAAACGAGGCAUACUUUCCUACAACGCCAGGAAACCUUCGCUCACGUACAGAUAGUGCCAAGGGGACGAGUAACCCGCGAAGGAAGGAAAGGAGGGUAUGAGGAUGUAGGGACAAUCACACACGAAGAUCGAUAGCUUUAAGGAAAACAUAUAUAUGGGACAUGUAAUCAAGGUCUAACCGAGCCAACACAUCUCUCACCGGCACAUUGGGCUGUCUUCCUCGGGCCCGAAGGGAGUUUUCUAAAUUCGAUCUGGCGACCAGAUACACCUCGACGACCAAACAAUGUGCUCGAUGUCGUGAUAACCUUGGCCACAAACGUAGAGAUUGCUGCUGGCAAGAUUGAAACGAAAGAGUAGUGCAUCUAACGAACAGUGAUUGGACAUGAGUCGGGAGAAGGUGCGAGUAAAGUCCCGACUCAAGUCUAGACUUUUGAACCACGGUUUGAGGCUAACCUUAGGGAUAAUCGAGUGAAACCACCAGCCCAAUUACUGUAAAUCAUGAAAAAGAUUAUUUUAUUUAUAUGUUUUGAAACAUUUGUAUACUUGAAUAGACACAGGUGCGCUAAACUAGAGCAUUCAGAAAGGUGGAUAAUGUGUUCCGGAUCACCGAGGAAAACUACUAAAUGAUACUUAAUCAAAUUCUUCGGAGUACAAUUAAAAAGAGUGUGACUUAUUUGGGAGUCGAAUUCGGAAAUAAACUUUAUUUCAACAACUACUUUGACUACCGCCGAAUGCUGAAUACACGAAAAAUUUAAGUUACCUAAGGUGUCUAUACAGGGCCUGAUUCUCCAGCGCGAAUGGAAUGUGACAACAAUGAACUCCUCAAAGUCACAUGACCCAGGUCACCGUAUCGCCGAAGGCGAUUGCCCUGACGUGAGAGGUUCAUUUUGUAGUAAAAUACUCAAUGAAUUACAAAUGGUACAGUGUUCAUUGAAAUAUAUGUCAAAGCUUGUGUUUUUUGCAAAGGCUCUAUUUAUUUAAUGUGUUUCAUGAAUAUAUAUUUCUUUUAUUUUAAAAAUUUUCAUUCCUUGUUACAAAUAUGUACAGGAAAUAAUUUCGUUCAUCUUUAUAAAUGUUUUCCUCUUAUUAUAAUUGAUGAAAAAUAAUAUCUCUGGCAUAAAAAAACAAAUAAAAAUAUAUUUUCAAAUCUGUUUUUGCAUAGUCCCUUUAAGGGGGUCUCCGUAGCCACAUUGGUUGCGCGUUCGCUUAGUAAGCGAUCGAUCGUGAGUUCAAAACUCAGGGCCCUCAUUGACCAUCUUUGUGUUGUUACAGAAUAGCUACGUCCACGCAACAAUCAACAGCGAUGGAGAUCGAUCCACGGUCGAAAUUAGAUCGAUUCAUCCAUACAACUGCUCUGCUAUGCAAGACACAUCGGGCUGCUGUUCUAUAAAUAACUCAACAAUGAUCAAUCAACUGUCUCCGCUGUCCGGUGGUCCAACUGGAUAAUGGAAGAACAGAAAGAAUACUCUUACGCCUAAAUGGCUACUGUGUAAAUGUACCAUAUGCAAAGGUAUAGAACGAAUACUGGCGAAUGGCAACUGUGUAAUGUAAUGUGCUAUAAUUAUAGAUAUGAUAACCAUGUGACAUGUACACGAUUAAAAUUCGGCUCUGUUACAGCUAAAAUGCUAAUGAGCCUAAAAUAAAUAAAUGGGAUAAAAAAAAAUAGUCCCUUUGCAUUAAUAUGAGUGUAUGUUAUUUCAAUUGUUUUGAUUUCGUAUCCGUGUUUUGAUUCCGCAUUCGUUUUUUGACUUAGUGUCCGGUGCUGAUUUUAGCGUAAUUAUUGCUAAAAGUUUAUCGGAAGGUUGACUAUUCUUUAUAACAUUACAGUGAACAUUAAUUUUAUAGUCGCCUCACAUAAAAGUCAUCAAGACAAUGAGCCGAUAAAAAUGAUAGAGCUGUCAAGAAUCUUGUAAUUCCACUGUCCGAAACUGCGCUGUUAUCGUUUGGAUUCUCACUGGAUGAGCCCGGUGAGCACGCAUCUCGCAUCUACCUUAUGGUCAAGCUGGGUCUUGAAAUGGAUAAGCACAGAUGAUACUCCAUCCGCAACUACUGAUGAAGAUGCUCCUCCACUAGUGGAUGACACCGAGGAUGCCCCACACAUGGAAGAAGUUGAUUAAACAUAUACGGUUUUUAACUACUUAAGUAGCUUUUCGUAAUUUUUGAAUGUCUGAUUUGUGUUUUUGGAGAAAGGAAACGGUAUGCUGAAUUGAGUUUCUCGUAUCAGUUAGGGUCAACUAUUGUAAACUUUCAAUUUAAUUUUGUACCGCGUUAUAGCGGCUGCAGAAGAUGUAUAUUCUUGUCAUUAGUAAUAGCAUACCAAAUACUUGAA